CGUGACUCACUGUGUCUAGCAGUUGGCCACAGCGUUAUGGAAACUUCUGAGUCUGAAUCUGGUGACAUCCCAUAUGUCGUUGCCCAGGUUUCCUGUGGUCUAGACAGUGGCCUGAGGGAGGAUAACUUUUGUUAAUAUCUAUUCCCUGGGCCAUAGUAUGUAAAUAUCGCUUAUUUAGGUAUUUUUGGAAUUGUCUCAAAACUCUUUCAUGUGUUUGUGUUCAAGCUAUCACCUUAAGUUACAACAGGCAAUCCCAGGAAGAAAAUUCUACUAAAUUUUAAGGAGCACACCCUUUUCCAAGAAUUCCUGUUCAUUCUUUGGAGACCGUGUUAUUAGAAUCAUCAUGGGAGCAGGAGUUACAUGUUCCAUUGUCUGGAAAGGUUUCCAGCCUCAUUGAAGUGAUUUGUGGUAUGACUCUAAUUCUGACAGGAUGUGGCAUGCAGCGUGACAGCAGACUUUCCAUGUUUCGAGGACCAUAGCAUUCACAUCCGAGAAUCUACCACGUCAGUGAAUAUUACUUAACGUCGGUACUUUUAUUUUUCACAAUUACCGAAUACUGACAAUGCAUUAGUACCUCUGAAAAUCCCCAAAACUCGUAAUGAUUGUAAAGUGUUUCAAAAAUAAAAUAUAAGUGCUGACAUAGGUUCCA
rnacentral:lncRNA from 13 species